GUGAGCGCCACUUGCUACCGCGCACCCCGCCGGUGGACUGAUCAAGCCCGAGGCCGAGGCAUGAUCUGCGUUUCAUCCGUGACGCGCGGUAGCAAGCAUGCCCUGGAGCUGGAGGGACGCCGCAGCCCGCAGCCGGGACGUGGGAAGUCGCAACAGCACUCAGGUCAUGUACAACGCUCCAACUUGGACCGAUGCCCCAGCCGCCACAUCGUCAUGCCCGAUGCCACCUCCUCCAAACCUAUCGCCUGCAGAGCAAAAUGGGAUCCUGCAGAAGAGCUCGCCUCUUCCCUGACAAAAGAGACGAGGCGGCCGCUCGGGCGAUGCGGUGUGGGAUCCGUCACUUCGCUCAGUACGGGACCAUGCACGCCCAGCAAAAGCCCACGAGAGCGAGAGGGGAAGAGCGGGAAGGGGAGAGGGGAGGGCGUCAACCAGGCACGGGAAGGGAGGAGGGAAGGCGCGAAUCAAGGGAAGGGGCGAAGCAGAGGGGAAGGCCGCACACCCUCGUUCUCAGCCCGCCAUCGACACCGUCUUGCCUGAUCUGAGGCGCGAACCAGAGGAGAAUCCGGAGCACCCUCGUCCUCAGCCCGCCGUCGGUGUUGUCCUGCACUCCUGUUCGAUCUGAUCUGGGCUUGUUCUCCCUGUAAGGUUGCAAGGGUGCCUAGAAAGCCAAGGGAAAAGAUAAGGAAGCCCCUACUGAGAUCAAUAUCAUGAAAGAACAGAUUGGUGCUUUUCUACAAGCACAAGCUGUCACUAAGGUGCAUAAUAAAGAGAUGAUGGAAUUGCAGAGUCGACUAUCUGCUCAGAAGGUAGAAGCUAGUCGACUUGCGUAUGAGGCUGCAAAGGGAGGACGGUGGCUUGCUUCCUAUGUAGAUGUUCUACGAAUAUGUGCAGCAAAAGAGGGGCUCAUGUGCAAGGAAGUAUUGAAGAUGCGAGGCAGUCUUUUUUUGAAAUGAGAAGGUUUAGAGGAUACACCAACAAAUUCAGUCUGAACUUCGAAUAAAUUUGAUAUGAGUGUUUACAAAUCUUUCCUUUAUCUGUAUUUGGAAACCAUAAGAUUAUUUUGUUACUU